rnacentral:rRNA from 1 species
GUAGGUGGCAAGCGUUGUCCGGAAUUAUUGGGCGUAAAGCGCGCGCAGGUGGUUCUUUAAGUCUGAUGUGAAAGCCCCCGGCUCAACCGGGGAGGGUCAUUGGAAACUGGGGAACUUGAGUGCAGGAGAGGAAAGUGGAAUUCCACGUGUAGCGGUGAAACGCGUAGAUAUGUGGAGGAACACCAGUGGCGAAGGCGACUUUCUGGCCUGUAACUGACACUGAGGCGCGAAAGCGUGGGGAGCAAACAGGGAUUAGAUACCCUGGUAGUCCACGCCGUAAACGAUGAGUGCUAAGUGUUGGGGGGGUUUCCCGCCCCUCAGUGCUGCAGCUAACGCAUUAAGCACUCCGCCUGGGGAUACGGCCGCAAGACUG